AAAAUUGGCUAAGUGGGAAACGAAGUGGGAAGGCUAAAACAGUCAGGAUGUUGGCUUAGAAGCAGCCAUCAUUUAAAGAAAGCGUAAUAGCUCACUGAUCGAGUCGUCCUGCGCGGAAGAUGUAACGGGGCUAAGCCAGUUACCGAAGCUGCGGAUUUGCAAUUUAUUGCAAGUGGUAGGAGAGCGUUCUGUAAGCCUGUGAAGGUGUCUUGUAAAGGAUGCUGGAGGUAUCAGAAGUGCGAAUGCUGACAUGAGUAGCGUUAAAGGGGGUGAAAAGCCCCCUCGCCGUAAGCGCAAGGUUUCCUACGCAACGUUCAUCGGCGUAGGGUGAGUCGGCCCCUAAGGCGAGGCAGAGAUGCGUAGCUGAUGGGAAACAGGUCAAUAUUCCUGUACCGAUUACAAGUGCGAUGUGGGGACGGAGAAGGUUAGCUCAGCCAACUGUUGGAAUAGUUGGUUCAAGCCUGUAGUCGUGCCUGGUAGGCAAAUCCGCCGGGCUAAGAUGAGGGGUGAUAACGAGGCUGCUUGCAGCCGAAGUGAGUGAUACCCUGCUUCCAGGAAAAGCCACUAAGCUUCAGCUUGUAAUUGACCGUACCGCAAACCGACACUGGUGCGCGAGAUGAGUAUUCUAAGGCGCUUGAGAGAACUCUGGAGAAGGAACUCGGCAAAUUGACACCGUAACUUCGGAAGAAGGUGUGCCUUUAGUAGGUGAAGUCCCUCGCGGAUGGAGCCCAACGGGGUUGCAAAAAAUCGGUGGCUGCGACUGUUUAUUAAAAACACAGCACUCUGCAAACACGAAAGUGGACGUAUAGGGUGUGACGCCUGCCCGGUGCUGGAAGAUUAAUUGAUGGGGUGCAAGCUCUUGAUCGAAGUCCCAGUAAACGGCGGCCGUAACUAUAACGGUCCUAAGGUAGCGAAAUUCCUUGUCGGGUAAGUUCCGACCUGCACGAAUGGCGUAACGAUGGCCACACUGUCUCCUCCAGAGACUCAGCGAAGUUGAAAUGUUUGUGAUGAUGCAAUCUCCCCGCGGAAAGACGGAAAGACCCCAUGAACCUUUACUGUAGCUUUGUAUUGGACUUUGAACAGAUCUGUGUAGGAUAGGUGGGAGGCUUUGAAGCAGGGUCGCUAGAUUCUGUGGAGCCAACGUUGAAAUACCACCCUGGUGUGUUUGAGGUUCUAACCUAGGUCCCUUAUCGGGAUCGGGGACAGUGCAUGGUAGGCAGUUUGACUGGGGCGGUCUCCUCCCAAAGUGUAACGGAGGAGUUCGAAGGUACGCUAGGUACGGUCGGACAUCGU
rnacentral:rRNA from 1 species